GAUGAAGAACGCAGCGAAAUGCGAUAAGUAAUGUGAAUUGCAGAAUUCAGUGAAUCAUCGAAUCUUUGAACGCACAUUGCGCCCGUCAGUAUUCUGGCGGGCAUGCCUGUUCGAGCGUCAUUACGCCCCUCAAGUCCCCUGUGGACUUGGUGUUGGGGAUCGGCGAGGCUGGUUUUCCAGCACAGCCGUCCCUUAAAUUAAUUGGCGGUCUCGCCGUGGCCCUCCUCUGCGCAGUAGUAAAACACUCGCAACAGGAGCCCGGUGCGGUCCACUGCCGUAAAACCCCCCAACUUUUUAUAGUUGACCUCGAAUCAGGUAGGACUACCCGCUGAACUUAAGCAUAUCAAUAAGCGGAGGA
rnacentral:misc_RNA from 1 species